AGAGUUUGAUCCUGGCUCAGGAUAAACGCUGGCGGCGCACAUAAGACAUGCAAGUCGAACGGAAGUCGUUACGAAAUGGAAUGAAGAUUUAUCUGAUUGAAGUUUUGUAACAAUGGCUUUAGUGGCGGACUGGUGAGUAACACGUAAGCAAUCUACCUAUUAGAGGGGAAUAACAAUGAGAAAUCAUUGCUAAUACCGCAUAAGCUUGUAGUACCGCAUGGUACAGCAAGAAAAGGAGCAAUCCGCUAAUAGAUGAGCUUGCGGCUGAUUAGCUAGUUGGUGUGGUAACGGCAUACCAAGGCAACGAUCAGUAGCCGGGCUGAGAGGCUCUUCGGCCACAUUGGGACUGAGAUACGGCCCAGACUCCUACGGGAGGCAGCAGUCGGGAAUUUUGCGCAAUGGAGGAAACUCUGACGCAGUGACGCCGCGUAUAGGAAGAAGGUUUUCGGAUUGUAAACUAUUUUAGUCAGGGAAGAAAAAUGACAGUACCUGAAGAAUAAGCUCCGGCUAACUACGUGCCAGCAGCCGCGGUAAUACGUAGGGAGCAAGCGUUAUCCGGAUUUAUUGGGUGUAAAGGGUGCGUAGACGGGAAGACAAGUUGGUUGUGAAAGCCCUCGGCUCAACUGAGGAACUGCAACCAAAACUAUCAUUCUUGAGUGCGGGAGAGGAAAGUGGAAUUCCUAGUGUAGCGGUGAAAUGCGUAGAUAUUAGGAGGAACACCAGUGGCGAAGGCGACUUUCUGGACCGUAACUGACGUUGAGGCACGAAAGUGUGGGGAGCAAACAGGAUUAGAUACCCUGGUAGUCCACACCGUAAACGAUGGAUACUAGGUGUAGGGAACGAUAUGUUUUCUGUGCCGAAAGCAAACGCAAUAAGUAUCCCACCUGGGGAGUACGGCCGCAAGGUUGAAACUCAAAGGAAUUGACGGGGGCCCGCACAAGCAGUGGAG
rnacentral:rRNA from 1 species